CAGUCGCGCGGUAAUACGAAGGUCCCGAGCGUUGUUCGGAAUCACUGGGCGUAAAGGGAGCGUAGGCGGCGUGGUAAGUCAGAUGUGAAAUCCCGGGGCUCAACCCCGGAACUGCAUCCGAUACUGCCAUGCUAGAGGAUUGGAGAGGUAGCUGGAAUUCUUGGUGUAGCAGUGAAAUGCGUGGAGAUCAAGAGGAACACUCGUGGCGAAAGCGAGCUACUGGACAAUAACUGACGCUGAGGCUCGAAGGCCAGGGUAGCGAAAGGGAUUAGAUACCCCGGUAGUCCCUGUCUCUUAUACC
rnacentral:rRNA from 1 species